UACGUAGGGUGCAAGCGUUAAUCGGAAUUACUGGGCGUAAAGCGUGCGCAGGCGGUGAUGUAAGUCAGUUGUGAAAUCCCCGGGCUCAACCUGGGAACUGCAUCUGUGACUGCAUCGCUGGAGUGCGGCAGAGGGGGAUGGAAUUCCGCGUGUAGCAGUGAAAUGCGUAGAUAUGCGGAGGAACACCGAUGGCGAAGGCAAUCCCCUGGGCCGGCACUGACGCUCAGGCACGAAAGCGUGGGGAGCAAACAGG
rnacentral:rRNA from 1 species